AGAGUAUACUAUAUUCUGUGUUUUCAAAACUUAAUAUGCUGAAACUUGCUUGAGUUUAUUAUGCCUAACCAUUUUGUUUGUUCUUUGAAUUUUAUAAGCAUUCAAUUAAAUUACUGAUAUAAUUCUGAGAAACCAUACCCUGCUAUUUUUUGGAAGCGCAAAAAAAAAACACACAUUUAUUUAUGCAUUAGUCUAACACAGUUAAACUCUCUUCCUCUCUUAUCUAGUAGCAGAGAAGCAGCUCUCCUUGUUUCCCUGGCAAGCCACAAGACCUAUAUGAAGAAAAAGAUGUUCCUUCAUCUUCUUACAAUACGGAAACAAUGAAAUAUUCUAUAUUAAAAAUGGACCCUCCAUUUUUCUCCAGUUCUAAAAGUUCACUUUUGACCAUUUUCCAAAUGUAAAAACUUGCACACGAAGAACUGUUUCAGAAGUUUGUAAGAAAGCCAAGGUAACAGUUUCUAUUAUUAAAAGUUUUGCAUUUCGUAUGACCAUUUAUCAUAUUGAAACACACCCAGUUAAAUGUUGACUUCUGAAAAAUUAUUUGCCUUGCUUGACUCAGUUUUAUCUCUAAAUUAUGAAUACGUUGAGGUUUCUACCAUUAUGUAAUCUAAAUCGUUACUAUACCUUUGUUUGUGAAAACUCACCCAUAUUUAGACUGUUAAACUUCAGGUAAGUUAAAUUCUUGCCCUCACACUCUUCUGCUAAGUAUUCCUAUGGUUUUCCAACUCAUCAGAGCCAAGUUCUGAAGCCUGAAUAUAUCAUACAUUGUUACUUCUAAUUGGUUUUAAUGUUUAUUAUGCUCCUCACAAGUGCAGAUUAACUUCACAUUUGCAUCACUAAUAGACCUCUUGCUGAGCCUCAGCUCCUUCUACUUCCUGCC
rnacentral:lncRNA from 1 species